UCCAUCCACUAGGGGUGCUAUUUUUAGCUGAGAUAGACAUUCGUCUAAUCCCUUUGAACCUGAUUUGGUUAAUACCAGCGUAGGAAAGUGGAAACGUCGAUUA
rnacentral:ncRNA from 2 species